GAAAUGCGAUAAGUAGUGUGAAUUGCAGAAUUCAGUGAAUCAUCGAAUCUUUGAACGCACAUUGCGCCCCUCGGUAUCCCGGGGGGCAUGCCUGUUCGAGCGUCAUUUCUACCACUCAAGCAUAGCUUGGUAUUGGGCAUCGUUGCUUUUUUAAACGUGCCUUAAAUGUAGACGGCGGCAAACACUAGUUCCGAGCGUAGCAGUAAAACAUUUCGCUUUAGAGAAUCUAGUAUAUUGUCAACCGCAUAAGUUUUUACUACAGUUUGACCUCGGAUCAGGCAGGGAUACCCGCUGAACUUAA
rnacentral:misc_RNA from 1 species